rnacentral:rRNA from 1 species
CAGCAGCCGCGGGAAUACGGAGGGUGCAAGCGUUAUCCGGAUUUAUUGGGUUUAAAGGGUCCGUAGGCGGAUCUGUAAGUCAGUGGUGAAAUCUCACAGCUUAACUGUGAAACUGCCAUUGAUACUGCAGGUCUUGAGUAAAUUUGAAGUGGCUGGAAUAAGUAGUGUAGCGGUGAAAUGCAUAGAUAUUACUUAGAACACCAAUUGCGAAGGCAGGUCACUAAGAUUUAACUGACGCUGAUGGACGAAAGCGUGGGGAGCGAACAGGAUUAGAACCCGUGUAGUCCCUGUCUCUUAUACC